rnacentral:rRNA from 1 species
UACGGAGGGUGCGAGCGUUAAUCGGAUUUACUGGGCGUAAAGCGUGCGCAGGCGGCCCGUUAAGACAGGUGUGAAAUCCCUGGGCUCAACCUGGGAAUGGCAUUUUGAACUGGCAGGCUCGAGUUCUGAAGAGGGUGGUAGAAUUCCUGGUGUAGCAGUGAAAUGCGUAGAGAUCAGGAGGAACACCGAUGGCGAAGGCAGCCCCCUGGGCCUGUACUGACGCUCAUGCACGAAAGCGUGGGGAGCAAACAGG